GUUACAGACUUGGCACCGUGGCGUGAGGGUUAUUGUGUGCUCAAGACGACUGAUUAAGUCUCUUGAUAAAACUAGACAUUUGGAAGCUGAUCAACUAUUAAGUGGCGAAACAAUAGCAAAACAGAAACAUAACAAACACCGUAAGAGAGCAAAAGAGAAAAGAUACAGAAAAACAAACAUCAAAGAUACUUUAGAACAGAGAGAAAAAAAGAUAAAAGGAAAUUAACAAGGAAGAUAAUUAGAAACGAAACAAACAAAAAAAAAGAAAACAUCAAACAAGAUACUUUAGAACAGAAAGAGAAAAAGAUAAAAGGAAAUUAACAAGGUAGAUAAACCAGACACGAAACAGAAACAAAAUGGUGGCGAGAUUAGCCCAAGGGCCUCCAGGGGGCAGUGCCGUCGACAAGGGAAAAUUAAGUCGAAACAACACCCUACUCCCUUUUCCUCCACAUAUACUCGACGAAAUGGGUCGAGGUGGAAGUGGAGGAGGUGGAUGGGGUAGUGGAGGAGGUGGUGGAGGUGGAGGAGGAGGUCUUCCCAGUAACCCCAGCAAGAUAUCUUUCCUCGAGUAUUACCAACAGGUCGACCUCGAAGGGAUUCGGAGCGAGUUUCGAAGCAGUGGGUCGUCUGGAUGUUGAUUAAGUCUCUUGAUAAAAACUAGACAUUUGGAAGCUGAUCAACUAUUAAGUGGCGAAACAAUAGCAAAACAGAAACAUAACAAACACCGUAAGAGAGCAAAAAGAGAAAAAGAUACAGAAAAACAAACAUCAAAG
rnacentral:lncRNA from 1 species